rnacentral:rRNA from 1 species
UGAUAUGAACCGUUAUAACCGGCGAUUUCCGAAUGGGGAAACCCAGUGUGAUUCGUCACACUAUCAUUAACUGAAUCCAUAGGUUAAUGAGGCGAACCGGGGGAACUGAAACAUCUAAGUACCCCGAGGAAAAGAAAUCAACCGAGAUUCCCCCAGUAGCGGCGAGCGAACGGGGAGCAGCCCAGAGCUUGAAUCAGUGUGUGUGUUAGUGGAAGCGUCUGGAAAGGCGUGCGAUACAGGGUGACAGCCCCGUACACAAAAAUGCACAUGCUGUGAGCUCGAUGAGUAGGGCGGGACACGUGGUAUCCUGUCUGAAUAUGGGGGGACCAUCCUCCAAGGCUAAAUACUCCUGACUGACCGAUAGUGAACCAGUACCGUGAGGGAAAGGCGAAAAGAACCCCGGCGAGGGGAGUGAAAAAGAACCUGAAACCGUGUACGUACAAGCAGUGGGAGCACAGAGCAAUCUGUGUGACUGCGUACCUUUUGUAUAAUGGGUCAGCGACUUAUAUUCUGUAGCAAGGUUAACCGAAUAGGGGAGCCGAAGGGAAACCGAGUCUUAACUGGGCGUUAAGUUGCAGGGUAUAGACCCGAAACCCGGUGAUCUAGCCAUGGGCAGGUUGAAGGUUGGGUAACACUAACUGGAGGACCGAACCGACUAAUGUUGAAAAAUUAGCGGAUGACUUGUGGCUGGGGGUGAAAGGCCAAUCAAACCGGGAGAUAGCUGGUUCUCCCCGAAAGCUAUUUAGGUAGCGCCUCGUGAAUUCAUCUCCGGGGGUAGAGCACUGUUUCGGCAAGGGGGUCAUCCCGACUUACCAACCCGAUGCAAACUGCGAAUACCGGAGAAUGUUAUCACGGGAGACACACGGCGGGUGCUAACGUCCGUCGUGAAGAGGGAAACAACCCAGACCGCCAGCUAAGGUCCCAAAGUCAUGGUUAAGUGGGAAACGAUGUGGGAAGGCCCAGACAGCCAGGAUGUUGGCUUAGAAGCAGCCAUCAUUUAAAGAAAGCGUAAUAGCUCACUGGUCGAGUCGGCCUGCGCGGAAGAUGUAACGGGGCUAAACCAUGCAC